UCUUAAUCCAACAUCGAGGUCGCAACCCAUUUCGUCGAUAUGAACUCUCAAAAAUGAUUACGCUGUUAUCCCUAAGGUAACUUAAUCUUAUGAUCAUAAAUUAUGGAUCAAAUAAACAUAAAUUAAUGAAUUUAUAAUGAAGAGUUUAAUUAUUCUUCAAGUCACCCCAACUAAACACUAUAAAAAUUUUAUUUUAAAAUAAACCAAAAUAAUAUAAAAAUAAAAAUGUCAAGCUCUAUAGGGUCUUCUCGUCCUAAAGAAAUAUUUGAGCCUUUUAACUCAAAAGUUAAAUUCUAAAAUUUAUUAAGAGACAGUUAAUUUCUCGUUAAACCAUUCAUUCAAGCCCCCAAUUAAGAGACUAAUGAUUAUGCUACCUUUGCACGGU
rnacentral:rRNA from 1 species